CUAUGAUUAAAUUCAUGGCGGAAGGAG
ncrna:unclassified sequences L31-Firmicutes ribosomal protein leader